UUAGGAUUUAAGAUUUAAUUAGAUUUAUUAUAGGAUUUAGGAUUUAUGUAGGAUUAGAAUUUAUGGUUUCAUUAGAACUUAAUAUAGGAUUAAGAUUUUGGAUUUUAUUAAGAUUUGAUCGAAGAGUAGGAUUUAUGAUUUGAUUUGAAUUUAAUCUAGGAUUAAGAUUUAUAAUUUGAUUAGAAUUUGAUCUUGGAUUUGAUUAGGAUUUGAUUAGGAUUUGAUCCAAAAUUUUAUUAGAAUUUGAUUAGAAUUUGGUUUAGGAUUUUAUUAUAAUUUGGUUAAGAUUUGGUUAGGAUU
rnacentral:lncRNA from 1 species